GAGGCAGUGCAAAUGCCCUGAACUCACCUUCGUUUCCCUACCUAAAUGACAAGCAGAAUUAUCAGAAACCGUGUAUGACCGACCAUCACAGUGGUUCAGCUGACAAAGACUUCAUAUGUUGAUUUAACGCAUCACCGACUCUUUCACAAAUGAACGUCCGCCAGAUGAAUAUGCAAGAUGUAUGUUCAUGAAUCGAGCAUUUUCUUUGCUCUGUGACAACGUUAGAGAGCCUUCAAUAACCUGAUCUUGCUCCACGUCUAAGGGUUCAUAGAAGUAAACCAAUGUCUGUUGCCAGUGUGUUGGGGGAUCCUCUGGUGCAGUUGACAAGACAAGGGCGUCGUUAGGAUUGGGACGCUUCUUUCUUUGAUUGUCUUCCGUCAUGUUACUGUUUGAAGGCUCAACAAAUGAAGGCCGCAUACCAUUAUCCAAAGGAAAUACUCUAGGGCCAGUAAACUCCACAUCAAACCAGAAAGCAAAACCAUGAAAGGGUGAUCGCAUCAUUGACUCAAAUCUAAAUCUGGAUGUGAUGGACUCUAGCUCCUGAGUUGUCACUUUAUAACAGUCCACAUGCUUCACCACUUGUGGCCAUGUCAAAACAUUUUCAACAGUAAUUGUCUCCACCGAUGGCUCUUCAAAUGCGCACUGCUUCGCUAAUGGCAUAAUAGCAGACAUGUCUAUUCCAUAAACGUUACGCCAGAAAUCAACACUUUCACUAUACCGGUCUGGAUGCGUCACAGGCGCCAUGUAUAGCGUUGCAUGUGAUGGAAGAAUAAGACCUCCUGGUUUCAGCCAGCGGUCUCUAGCAGUGAUAACACUCCCCAGCAUGCUCUCAUAAAGCAGCAUGUAACCCAUCCAUUCUGAAACUAUAAUGUCAACUUCUUCAUCAAUUUCAACAUCCUCGACCCGCCCAUGCAAAACAAUAACUUUGUCACAUAAGUUGUUUGCCUUCACAAUUUCAUUCGCCUGGACAGCUAUAUCACUUGCAUCAACAGCAUACACUCGUCUUGCACCCGCUUGUGCAC
rnacentral:misc_RNA from 1 species